GCGCUUUGGCAGCACAUAUACUAAAAUUGGAAUGUUACAGAGAAGAUUAGCACGGCCCCUGCGCAAGGAUGACACACAAAUUCGUGAAGCAUUUCAUAUUUUU
rnacentral:snRNA from 1 species